UGAGGCUUCCCUGUUGGGAAUACGUACGACGAGACAAAGACAAAGUCUUCAAAAUACCUUAGAAAUAAAUAGCUAAGUAGUCAUUCUAAAUUUGAUCAAUAUUCUAAAUUACAGAAUUAUAUAUUGAUAUUCUAUUACGUUCGACAAUCAACAAGUAAAAUGCUUCCUUGGUACCGUCAGCAUCCCAAGGUCUGGUUUCAUCUCGUUAAGAGGGAUUCGGCCUUUGAGCAAUUUUGCAAAUGCUCCCUCAUGUUUUUCGUUGGCAUUCUGAUACUAAAGCGUUUGGGGCGUGGAUUGCCUUCCCUGAAGCUAGUCGAAACUUACCUGAUGCCGAAGAAGAGUUAAAUCAAUGUUGUUGUUGUUUGUAAAAUAUCAAUUCCAACUGUGAUCAACAAUUGAUUGAGUUUAAAAAACGUAAA